UGGAAAUGACAAACAGAGCAGCAGACACAGAGGCAGCGCUGGUCAGGAGUCAGUUAAACAACAACACACACACACACACAUCCACGUCAUGACCACAGGUGAGGGUUCAAACGUAGAUCUACUGGGAAAUGGAGAACUUCUCCUUCUGGCUCAGCUUCAUCUUCCACCAAGGAACAAGCUCUCAAAUACUGUGAGAGCAGGAGCAUCCCUCUCUAUCUUCAAGAACCUGUUGAAGACUUCAGCGUCUCCUGCACUGAAGCUUUAGAGUUGUCCCUCACUCCUCGCUGUAGCGACAAGCUUCAUUUUUAAAAACAAAGAAAAAGGGGUACGCCUACCUGUAAUCUUUUCAGGACUUUCAGAAAGCAGCAGCUCCACUUUUCCAUCGUCUGGGAACCGAGGAUCUGGAACGU